rnacentral:rRNA from 1 species
UGGGGAAUAUUGCACAAUGGGCGCAAGCCUGAUGCAGCAACGCCGCGUGCGGGAAGAAGGCCCUAGGGUUGUAAACCGCUUUCAGCAGGGAAGAAAAUGACGGUACCUGCAGAAGAAGGUGCGGCCAACUACGUGCCAGCAGCCGCGGUGACACGUAGGCACCAAGCGUUGUCCGGAUUUAUUGGGCGUAAAGAGCUCGUAGGCGGUUCAGUAAGUCGGGUGUGAAAACUCUGGGCUCAACCCAGAGAGGCCACCCGAUACUGCUGUGACUUGAGUACGGUAGGGGAGCGGGGAAUUCCUGGUGUAGCGGUGAAAUGCGCAGAUAUCAGGAGGAACACCAGUGGCGAAGGCGCCGCUCUGGGCCGUAACUGACGCUGAGGAGCGAAAGCAUGGGUAGCAAACAGGAUUAGAUACCCUGGUAGUCCAUGCCG